ACUCCUACGGGAGGCAGCAUUGGGAAGUAUUGCACAAUGGGGAAACCCGUAGCAUGCAGCCAUGCCGCGUGUGUGAAGAAGGCCUUCGGGUUGUAAAGCACUUUCAGUAGGGAGGAAGGUAGUGUAGUUAACACCUGCAUUAUUUGACGUUACCUACAGAAGAAGCACCGGCUAACUCCGUGCCAGCAGCCGCGGUAAUACGGAGGGUGCGAGCGUUAAUCGGAAUUACUGGGCGUAAAGCGCAUGCAGGCGGCCUGUUAAGUCAGAUGUGAAAGCCGGG
rnacentral:rRNA from 1 species